rnacentral:rRNA from 1 species
AUUGAACGCUGGCGGCAUGCUUUACACAUGCAAGUCGAACGGUAACAGGCCGCAAGGUGCUGACGAGUGGCGAACGGGUGAGUAAUGCAUCGGAACGUGCCCAGUCGUGGGGGAUAACGCAGCGAAAGCUGCGCUAAUACCGCAUACGAUCUAUGGAUGAAAGCGGGGGACCGUAAGGCCUCGCGCGAUUGGAGCGGCCGAUGUCAGAUUAGGUAGUUGGUGGGGUAAAGGCUCACCAAGCCAACGAUCUGUAGCUGGUCUGAGAUGACGACCAGCCACACUGCGACUGAGACACGGCCCAGACUCCUACGGGAGGCAGCAGUGGGGAAUUUUGGACAAUGGGCGCAAGCCUGAUCCAGCAAUGCCGCGUGCAGGAAGAAGGCCUUCGGGUUGUAAACUGCUUUUGUACGGAACGAAAAGGCUCUGGAUAAUACCUGGGGCUCAUGACGGUACCGUAAGAAUAAGCACCGGCUAACUACGUGCCAGCCGCCGCUGUAACAC